rnacentral:lncRNA from 7 species
GUAACCCUUUUUGCCCCAGCAUUAUUUCUGAAUCUUCAACCUGGUAUUUCCUAAGUCUUGUUUGAACCACUGAAGUGGUGACAAGAAACUUUGGACCUAACCAUGGUAACAGCUGUGAAGCUGGGGGCAUGAAAGCAUUGCAUCAUCUCUAGCAUGUUGAGGAUGUCCAUCUAAAGAGACUUUUUGACUUACUCCAGAAUUACAUAUGGAAACCUCCACUGAAAUCCAACAGCCAAGACUACAUCAAUAAAAGUGCUUGGAAAGGCAAAGCCUGCUCACAUGAAGAACAGUCCAAAACAGACUUUGUCCAAAGAUAACAGCUUGUGGUCCCAGAGAUGGCUCCAGGAAAACAGGGAGAAUAUGAAGUCUGUCCAGACAAGUCUAUGAAUUCUCAGCAAUAUAUAUUGGCAAGGAAGAACUGAAAUUGCUAUACCAAGUCAUCAUAUCAAACUACUGGGAGUAACACUGUCAAUAGUAAAUUGCUAUGUUGCAAGACAGCAGGUAGCAAAGGAAGCUCCUAGCAGGGAGAGAUGGAUGAGAGAUAUAGUAGCUUACACCCCACCGGAAAGGAUUACCAGUGAAGCCCCAAAGGAGUAUAAACAAUUUGAUAAAAUUUGGACAGAGAUUUUAGUAGCACAGACAGAGGCUUUUUCAGUGAAAUCCUCCCCUCCAAUGCUAAGCACGUCAGGUGAGAGUCUAUGUUGUGCCUCUAGGAGAUGCAGCACAGACCUCAAAGCCAAGAGUCAAAGGGGAAAAUAAUGACUUUACAUUACCUCUGCAUCCUCAUAAUUCUGGGCUACCCCUGCAGAAUUGGCCUGAAUUUCUGCUGCUAUAUUCUGCUACAAUACACUUAACACAUCCAUCCUAUUCCAGCUUGGCUCUGUCCCUUUCUUGCCCCAGACUGAGACAGGCUGGAAGACAGAUUACUCAAAUGUUUUACCUGCAAACAAAUUUAUCUUCACACAGAUAUAUGCCAUGACAAAUCUUAGUCUAAAUGUUUAGAGUUUGGCAAAGUAAUAAACAUGUGAAGAGUCUAAAAAUGUGUUACAAAAGCUUAAAUGAUAUAUAGGGUCCAUUUUGUGGGGGUGGAUUUCAGGUUUUCCGUGUUCUGAAGUCCUUAUUUAACUAUUCAUAUAUUCAAGAAAAGAAAUCAACAAACCAAACCAAACCACUAGCACCACAACCACAAAAACAAACAAACAACAAAAAACAGCCUGAAGUUUCAAAUUACUAAGAUAAAUUAUAUAUUCACAGAAUCAGAAGCACAGAAUGAUACUCAUUCACUUUCAUAUUUUUCCCCUUAUCAGCCACGUUAUAUUGCAAAAAUCUAGAUCUGUGAAUUUUGUUUAGAAAGGAUUCAAACCUACAUUACAAUGUUUUGUCUAGUGACAGUAUCAGAUUAAAGCAAUACUAUUGUCUUUGUAAAUUGGUAACGAAGACAUACCUCUCUGUAUAUAUAUGUAUAUAUAUAUGUUUUCUAAUUUUUUAGAAGGAAAUCAGCUUUCUGCCCUACAACAUUAUU